CAAGCCUGGGAUAACUAUCCGAAAGGGUAGCUAAUACCGGAUAAAGUCGAUUCACAUAAGUAAAUUGAUGAAAGAUUGCCUCUUCUUGAAAGCAAUUGUUUGGGGAUGAGUUUGCGUACCAUUAGCUAGUUGGUGGGGUAAAGGCCUACCAAGGCUGCGAUGGUUAGCUGGUCUGAGAGGAUGAUCAGCCACACUGGAACUGGAACACGGUCCAGACUCCUACGGGAGGCAGCAGUGAGGAAUUUUGCGCAAUGG
rnacentral:rRNA from 1 species